AGGCACAAGCUAUCCGCGAGCGGAUUGGCUACUCCGACAACAUCAAGAAUGACACUUACCUGAACAACGAGUAUAAAAAUUUGAGCUACAGUGCAGAGGAGUACUUUGAGAAUAUCCUUCAGAACCUGGAGUACGUACAGAGGAAACGUCUGAGGAAGCUACGGGUCAAAGUUAACAAAGAAGAAUGGGUAACA